GAUGAACGCUGGCGGCGUGCCUAAUACAUGCGAGUCGAGCGAACAGACGAGGAGCUUGCUCCUCUGACGUUAGCGGCGGACGGGUGAGUAACACGUGGAUAACCUACCUAUAAGACUGGGAUAACUUCGGGAAACCGGAGCUAAUACCGGAUAAUAUAUUGAACCGCAUUGUUCAAUAGUGAAAGACGGUUUUGCUGUCACUUAUAGAUGGAUCUGGGCCGCAUUAGCUAGUUGGUAAGGUAACGGCUUACCAAGGCAACGAUGCGUAGCCGACCUGAGAGGGUGGUCGGCCACACUGGAACUGAGACACGGUCCAGACUCCUACGGGAGGCAGCAGUAGGGAAUCUUCCGCAAUGGGCGAAAGCCUGACGGAGCAACGCCGCGUGAGUGAUGAAGGUCUUCGGAUCGUAAAACUCUGUUAUUAGGGAAGAACAAAUGUGUAAGUAACUAUGCACGUCUUGACGGUACCUAAUCAGAAAGCCACGGCUAACUACGUG
rnacentral:rRNA from 1 species